rnacentral:misc_RNA from 1 species
GACAGAGGUGCCAAGCGUUAGGCGGAAUCACUGGGCUUAAAGCGUGUGUAGGUGGAUUGGUAAGUAUCUUGUGAAAUCCCACGGCUUAACCGUGGAACUGCUGGGUAUACUGCUGAUCUUGAGCCAUCUAGGGGCUACUGGAACAAACGGUGGAGCGGUGAAAUGCGUAGAUAUCGUUUGGAACGCCAAAGGUGAAAACAGGUAGCUGGGGAUGUGCUGACACUGAGACACGAAAGCCAGGGGAGCAAACGGG